rnacentral:rRNA from 1 species
CAAUAGCGUAUAUUAAAGUUGUUGCAGUUAAAAAGCUCGUAGUUGAAUUUCUGGCGGGCGCGCCGGUCUUCCAAGUGUUGUACUGGGCGCAGUCCGCCAUCCUUGUGGAGAGGGCUCGCAUUGAGUUGCGUGUCGGAUCUGCAUCAUUUACUGUGAAAAAAUUAGAGUGUUUAAAGCAGGCUAUCGCUUGAAUACAUUAGCAUGGAAUAAUAAGAUAGGACUUCGGUCUAUUUUGUUGGUUGCGAACCGAGGUAAUGAUUAAUAGGGAUAGUUGGGGGUAUUCAUAUUUAAUUGUCAGAGGUGAAAUUCUUGGAUUUAUGAAAGAUGAACAACUGCGAAANCANNNACCAAGGAUGUUUUCAUNAA